CCUGCACCAUGUCUGUCUCAGCAGAGCUCAGUGGUGUCUGCACCAUGGCCUGGACUCCUCUCCUCUUCUUCCUCCUUCAUUGUACAGGGUCUUUCUCCCAACCUGUGCUGACUCAGUCACCCUCAGCCUCUGCCUCCCUUGGAGCCUCAACCAAACUGACCUGCACCUUGAGUAGUCAGUACAGCAGCUACAUCAUUCAUUGGUAUCAGCAACAUCCAGACAAGGCUCCUAAGGACGUGAUGUAUCUUAGGAGUGAUGGAAGCCACGGCAAGGGAGAUGGGAUCCCUGAUCGCUUCUCUGGCUCCAGCUCUGGUGCUCAUCGAUACUUGAGCAUCUCCAACUUGCAGCUUGAAGAUGAAGCUGACUACAUCUGUGGUGCAGAUUAUACCAUUAGUGGACAAUUUGGGUGGACACAGUGACCCAGAUAAAUGAGGAAGCGGGACAGGAACUACUUUGCUUUCUUGCUACCAAGAUUGGACUAUGAUUUUGAGAAGGAACCUCUGAAGUUCUUAGCUUUACAGUUAUUGUAUGUUUGCUGCUUAUUAUUCAAGAGGAUAGAUCCUAGGUUUAGCAAUUCCUCCCAAACUCCUGGGGAAAGUGGGGGUUGUAUAGAGUGCACAGCUCUGUAGUAGUAAUGACCAUGUAAAAGUUAAAACUGUACAGCUGAGGAGAUGAGAAUAUUCUCUUUACAAGCUGGAGAAGUGGGUCUAAGGUUCUCACAAUUACUCACCGAAGUUCAUAGGAAUGUUUUUUAUAAGAUGGCUUUCUUGUCUUAUGCUCUAAAUUUUUUUCACUACAGCAAGUUCCCAAGAAGCACAGUGUAAGAACAUUUAAGGUGACACUGUUGUUGAAGCCCCCUAU